rnacentral:rRNA from 1 species
CCAAGGAGUUUAGCGUGUGCGCGAGUCAUUGGGUGGAAAACCUAAAGGCGGAAUGAAAGUAAAGGAAACUCGCUUUCUGAGGGAGGAUGGGUUACCUGCCUUUACAGGCGGUGCCCCGCACUCCCGGGGCGUCUCUUUCUCAUUACGAGUGGAGGCGCACCUAUAGCGUACACGCUGAUACCCGAAAGAUGGUGAACUAUGCCUGGCCAGGACGAAGCCAGGGGAAACCCUGGUGGAGGUCCGCAGCGAUUCUGACGUGCAAAUCGAUCGUCGGAGCUUGGUAUAGGGGCGAAAGACCAAUCGAACCAUCUAGUAGCUGGUUCCCUCUGAAGUUUCCCUCAGGAUAGCUUGCGCUCGGUUGAGACGAGUCUCAUCCGGUAGAGCGAAUGAUUAGAGGCCUUGGGGUCGAAACGACCUCAACCUAUUCUCAAACUCCAAAUAGAUGAGAUCCCCGGCUUGCUUGAAAGUGAAGCCGGGACUCGGAUCAGAGUGCC